GUCGACAAACAAUAUUCAGCUAAAUUGUCCGAUUGUUACAAUAUGCAUGUGCCGCGCGGCACUGAAUUCGUUUAAAGAAGUGCAUAGAUAUCUACCUAUAUUUGUUUUUUAUCCGUACGUUAAAUUCCAAAACCCCUAAAAAAGAAAAAAACAAUAAAAACCCGUACCGACGCGUAAUAUUUUCACGUGCCGAUCGCGAAAUAGAAAAAAAAAAUAAAAUCUUUUAACAUGAUCCGGAGCCAUGUAUUACAUUAUGCGUGUACCUCGUACAAUAUAUUAUCGUGUGUGUGCUAUUUUAAUCCUCAGAAGCGGUCCAAUUAUGGGCGUCCGUUAUUAUACCGAGAGUUAAUAAACAUUUUUUUUAGAUUUUGAAUGCUGCGAUGAAUCUCUCAGCUUUACUGAGAUGUUUGUGUGUUUGUUUUUUUUUUUUUUUUUUUUUUUCUCGGGUUUAAAUUUAAUAUAUUUAAAUUUGGGUUCAUGAUAUUUGAUUGUAGGUAUCACUGCGAUGAAUCUCUCAGCUUUACUGAGAUGUUUGUGUGUUUGUUUUUUUUUUUUUUUUUUUUUUUUACGAAUAUGUUAGACAUUAGACGAAUUGUAUCGGGUAUUUAAGUAAUCCAAAGUAACAAAAUGUUUAAAAAAACACCCGAUAAAACCGUAUCUUAUUAACGAUAUCACGUCGAGCGAUUUACACGAUGAACUGUAGGCAUAAAAACGAAUAGGUAACUUAAAAAAUAUACAAUCGCACGUGAUAAAUAUUAUUGCAACAUGUUAUGCGAACGUAUUUAUCGCAUUAUUGUGUUACGAUUCGUAUUAUACAAAU